rnacentral:rRNA from 1 species
GGAGUAGCUUGCUACUCUGCCGGCGAGCGGCGGACGGGUGAGUAAAGUCUGGGRAUCUGGCUUAUGGAGGGGGAUAACCAUUGGAAACGGUGGCUAAUACCGCAUGAUGUCGCAAGACCAAAGUGGGGGACCUUARGGCCUCACGCCAUGAGAUGAACCCAGAUGAGAUUAGCUAGUAGGUGCGGUAAUGGCGUACCUAGGCGACGAUCUCUAGCUGGUCUGAGAGGAUGACCAGCCACACUGGAACUGAGAGACGGUCCAGACUCCUACGGGAGGCAGCAGUGGGGAAUAUUGCACAAUGGGCGGAAGCCUGAUGCAGCCAUGCCGCGUGUGUGAAGAAGGCCUUAGGGUUGUAAAGCACUUUCAGCGGGGAGGAAGGCGGUAAGAGUAAUAUGCUUAUCRAUUGACGUUACCCGCAAAAGAAGCACCGGCUAACUCCGUGCCAGCAGCCGCGGUAAUACGGAGGGUGCGAGCGUUAAUCGGAAUAACUGGGCGUAAAGRGCAUGUAGGCGGUAAGUUAAGUCAGAUGUGAAAUCCCCGAGCUUAACUUGGGAACGGCAUUUGAGACUGGCUGGCUAGAGUUUUGUAGAGGGGGGUAGAAUUCCAGGUGUAGCGGUGAAAUGCGUAGAGAUCUGGAGGAAUACCGGUGGCGAAGGCGGCCCCCUGGACAAGGACUGACGCUGAGGUGCGAAAGCGUGGGUAGCAAACAGGAUUAGAUACCCUGGUAGUCCACGCUGUAAACGAUGUCGAUUUGGAGGUUGUGACCUAGUGUUAUGG